rnacentral:rRNA from 1 species
AAGGAGAAGUCGUAACAAGGUUUCCGUAGGUGAACCUGCGGACAUCGUGUGAGCGAGCGUAUUCAAUAAGUCAUAACGACUCUCGGCAACGGAUAUCUCGGCUCUCGCAUCGAUGAAGAACGUAGCAAAAUGCGAUACGUAGUGUGAAUUGCAGGAUCCCGUGAACCAUCGAGUUUUUGAACGCAAGUUGCGCCCGAAGCCUUUAGGCCGAGGGCACGCCUGCCUGGGCGUCACGCACCGUUGACCCCCCAAACCUCCUCGAGAUGUUUGUGGGGGCGUAAAGUGGUUUCCCGUCGGUCUUUGUCCCGCGGUUGGCCUAAAAUUGAAUCCCUAGCCGCGGUGCGCGCGGCAUUCGGUGGUCAACGAUAGCUUUCGUUACCCCGUCGUGCGCUCCCGCGUUGCAAAGGAUGUCACCGAUGUAACCUGAUGCCUAGCUCUGCGAAGAGCGCAGCUUACAACGCGACCCCUGGUCAGGCGGGGCUACCCGCUGAA